UACCUACGGGGGGCAGCAGUGGGGAGUAUUGCACAAUGGGGGAAACCCUGAUGCAGCGACGCCGCGUGAGCGAAGAAGUAUUUCGGUAUGUAAAGCUCUAUCAGCAGGGAAGAAAAAUGACGGUACCUGAGUAAGAAGCACCGGCUAAAUACGUGCCAGCAGCCGCGGUAAUACGUAUGGUGCAAGCGUUAUCCGGAUUUAUUGGGUUUAAAGGGUGCGCAGGCGGUCUGUUAAGUCAGCGGUCAAAGCCCGGGGCUCAACCCCGGCCCGCCGUUGAAACUGGCAGUCUCGAGUUGGAGAGAAGU
rnacentral:rRNA from 1 species